rnacentral:rRNA from 1 species
UACGGAGGAUGCAAGCGUUAUCCGGAAUGAUUGGGCGUAAAGCGUCCGCAGGUGGUUAUACAAGUCUGCUGUCAAAGCGCAAGGCUCAACCUUGUAAAGGCAGUGGAAACUGUGUGACUAGAGAGUGAUAGGGGCAGAGGGAAUUCCCAGUGUAGCGGUGAAAUGCGUAGAGAUUGGGAAGAACACCGGUGGCGAAAGCGCUCUGCUGGGUCAUAUCUGACACUGAGGGACGAAAGCUAGGGGAGCGAAAGGG